AUUGAACGCUGGCGACAGGCUUAACACAUGCAAGUCGAGCGGAGAUGAGGUGCUUGCACCUUAUCUUAGCGGCGGACGGGUGAGUAAUGCUUAGGAAUCUGCCUAUUAGUGGGGGACAACAUUCCGAAAGGAAUGCUAAUACCGCAUACGCCCUACGGGGGAAAGCAGGGGAUCUUCGGACCUUGCGCUAAUAGAUGAGCCUAAGUCGGAUUAGCUAGUUGGUGGGGUAAAGGCCUACCAAGGCGACGAUCUGUAGCGGGUCUGAGAGGAUGAUCCGCCACACUGGGACGGAGACACGGCCCAGACUCCUACUGGAGGCAGCAGUGGGGAAUAUUGGACAAUGGGGGGAACCCUGAUCCAGCCAUGCCGCGUGUGUGAAGAAGGCCUUAUGGUUGUAAAGCACUUUAAGCGAGGAGGAGGCUACUGAGACUAAUACUCUUGGAUAGUGGACGUUACUCGCAGAAUAAGCACCGGCUAACUCUGUGCCAGCCGCCGCCGUAAAAC
rnacentral:rRNA from 1 species